UACGGAGGGUGCAAGCGUUAUCCGGAUUCACUGGGUUUAAAGGGUGCGUAGGCGGGCAAGUAAGUCAGUGGUGAAAUCUCCGGGCUUAACUCGGAAACUGCCGUUGAUACUAUUUGUCUUGAAUAUCAUGGAGGUAAGCGGAAUAUGUCAUGUAGCGGUGAAAUGCUUAGAUAUGACAUAGAACACCGAUAGCGAAGGCAGCUUACUACAUGUUCAUUGACGCUGAGGCACGAAAGCGUGGGGAGCAAACAGG
rnacentral:rRNA from 1 species